CUAGAGCGGCGGACGGGUGAGUAACGCGUGGGUAACCUGCCUCAUACAGGGGGAUAACAGUUGGAAACGGCUGCUAAUACCGCAUAAGCGCACAGUACCGCAUGGUACGGUGUGAAAAACUCCGGUGGUAUGAGAUGGACCCGCGUCUGAUUAGGUAGUUGGUGGGGUAACGGCCUACCAAGCCGACGAUCAGUAGCCGACCUGAGAGGGUGACCGGCCACAUUGGGACUGAGACACGGCCCAA
rnacentral:rRNA from 1 species